CUUGGCAUUGUCCCCUCCCAAACUCCCACCCCUCCACAUAGCUUAAAAGUGUUGGGGGCUUCUCCAGUUUAGACGGGGGAACAAAGAGAACCAACAGCUGGAAAAAACUAGAGAUGAGGCCGUUGGCCUAGUCAUCAUCCAGGCCGAUUUCUCAGAACCACCACUUUCCCUUCGGCUACUUUGCCCAUCCCAUAAAAGAACCCCAAAUCCUUCCUGUUCAUUCCUCAGCAGGUCCCAGAUUUCCUUCCAGAAACUCAGAAGGCAACAGGAGCUGAAUUGCAAAGUUCGUUAGAGUACAGACUCUGAAUUAAAGAGCUGGGUUAAACUCCAGGCUAUUCCCUUAGUAGCUGUGUGACCACUAGCACGUGACCUUACCUGUCUGAAGCUUGGUUUUCUCCCAGUAAGAUGGGGUAGUACUGCCUAAAGGGGUAUAUGGCAUGUAUAAGGUGUUCCAUAAAUGGAGCUUAUUGGCAGAGAAUAAGUCACGGGCCAUGCCCCGCAAGGGGAUUCACGAAGACCCACUGCGAGCCAGGAAGGGAGUACGGGGCUGUCUGCUCCGGGACCCGCAGUGAGCCGGACAGCUGGGUCCUCCCAAGCCGGGCGGGCUGCCCCAGGGAGGAAGGGAGGGGGGCGAGCCUGAGCGGGCACCUCGGCCCGCAGGAGGUCUGCAGCGAGCUGUGGUGCCUGAGCAAGAGCAACCGGUGCAUCACCAACAGCAUCCCGGCCGCCGAGGGCACGCUGUGCCAGACGCACACCAUCGACAAGGGGUGGUGCUACAAGCGGGUCUGUGUCCCCUUUGGGUCGCGCCCAGAGGGUGUGGACGGAGCCUGGGGGCCGUGGACUCCGUGGGGCGACUGCAGCCGGACCUGUGGCGGCGGCGUGUCCUCUUCUAGCCGUCACUGCGACAGCCCCAGGCCAACCAUCGGGGGCAAGUACUGUCUGGGUGAGAGAAGGCGGCACCGCUCCUGCAACACGGAUGACUGUCCCCCUGGCUCCCAGGACUUCAGAGAAGUGCAGUGUUCUGAAUUU
rnacentral:sRNA from 1 species